rnacentral:tRNA from 1 species
GGCAGUUUAGCUUAAAGGUAAAGCGCUUGAUUGUGGCUUUAUCAAGAGAUAUGGGUUCGAGUCUCAUAGAUGUUU